GGGCUGGCUCAGUGGCAUAGGUGCAUACCUUGUUCUCAUCUGGCUUUGUGUUUUGACAUGAGUGCAAAAUUCAACCUAAAUGACUUGGAUUUCCUCUGGCAGUAGCAAUGGCAACACUGACUACAGGCAGCUGCACUGCAGCCUCGCAGUGCUUUGCAGCAGCAAGUACACGGCGUUGCGCUGUAACCCUGAAACUGGAACGGCACUCGACUGGGCAGUGAAGCACGGCAAUCUUGAGAUGGCAGAGAUGGUCGCCAAAGCAGGCGUCGAUGUCAAUGCUAAAUCGGUAAGUGAUGACAGAUGUUUCAUUGGUUUCUUCUGUGUUGGUCUCUCUGGGCGGUAUUUAUGCAUGCACAACUUACAGUGCCACUGCUCGCUCUCUAUAUAUAUGCCUGAAGCUUUGUGAGAAUGGCAUUCUUAAAUGAAUGAGUGAUUCUCUUUCUGGGUAAGUUGCUCAUAGACGAAAUGAUCACACAUAGCAUUUAACCCCUUUUAAGUAUUCAUAAAAAAGCUGCCAAACAACAUAUUUAUUCAUAUAAACAAUAGCUAACCUUAUAAGCUUUAAAUUAGCAACAUUUAGCUACGUUCUCUAGGGGCCUUACUGUGCUUCCAGAUUCACUAUUAUUUUAGUCUUCUCUUUAACCUUUAUUGUACCCUGACAUCUCUUUGGAAAUCAGAUUUCACAGGUACUUGAGUAGGUGAAUUCCAGAGAUAAGAAAUUCUUGAAUUAACUUGUUUGUACACCUUAAACAGAUAAGUAUCUUAAUAUUCCCUCUACUGUGUGCAUUGAGUGGGAGUAUAAAAAAAUAUUUAGAGCGAAUAUUUUCCAAGCUGUAGUUUCCUGAUGUGCUCUCGUUAAGCAUCACCAUUCAUGUUACAAAAAAGCCUUACUGAUCUUUAAGGAGAGCCAAAAUCUUAAAACAAACGCGCUGUGCUUUUGAAAAUAUGUUUACAUUUUAAAAUAUCAUUUACAAGGCUGAAAAAU
rnacentral:lncRNA from 1 species